rnacentral:rRNA from 1 species
GAUGAACGCUGGCGGCGUGCCUAAUACAUGCAAGUCGAGCGAACAGACGAGGAGCUUGCUCCUCUGACGUUAGCGGCGGACGGGUGAGUAACACGUGGAUAACCUACCUAUAAGACUGGGAUAACUUCGGGAAACCGGAGCUAAUACCGGAUAAUAUAUUGAACCGCAUGGUUCAAUAGUGAAAGACGGUUUUGCUGGCACUUAUAGAUGGAUCCGCGCCGCAUUAGCUAGUUGGUAAGGUAACGGCUUACCAAGGCAACGAUGCGUAGCCGACCUGAGAGGGUGAUCGGCCACACUGGAGCUGAGACACGGUCCAGACUCCUACGGGCGGCAGCAGUAGGGAAUCUUCCGCAAUGGGCGAAAGCCUGACGGAGCAACGCCGCGUGAGUGAUGAAGGGCUUCGGAUCGUAAAACUCUGUUAUUAGUGAAGAACAAAUGUGUAAGUAACUAUGCACGUCUUGACGGUACCGAAUCAGAAAGCCACGGCUAACUACGU